rnacentral:sRNA from 1 species
ACGUACUGCAUGUACGCUCCGGUUCCUGUGCUCCGGCCUCAAUGCACUAACAGCCGCUCGCUGCGUUUAAACU